rnacentral:rRNA from 1 species
UACGGAGGGUGCAAGCGUUAUCCGGAUUCACUGGGUUUAAAGGGCGCGUAGGAGGGCAGGUAAGUCAGUGGUGAAAUCUCCGGGCUUAACUCGGAAACUGCCGUUGAUACUAUCUGUCUUGAAUGCCGUGGAGAUGAGCGGAAUAUGUCAUGUAGCGGUGAAAUGCUUAGAUAUGACAUAGAACACCAAUUGCGAAGGCAGCUCGUUACACGAACAUUGACUCUGAGGCUCGAAAGCGUGGGGAUCAAACAGG